CCUACGGGUGGCAGCAGUGAGGAAUAUUGGUCAAUGGUCGGGAGACUGAACCAGCCAAGCCGCGUGAGGGAUGAAGGUACAGAGUAUCGUAAACCUCUUUUGUCAGGGAACAAAGGCGGGGACGCGUCCCCGGAUGAGUGUACCUGAAGAAAAAGCAUCGGCUAACUCCGUGCCAGCAGCCGCGGUAAUACGGGGGAUGCGAGCGUUAUCCGGAUUUAUGGGGUUUAAGGGGUGCGCAGGCGGUCUGUUAAGUCAGCGGUCAAAGCCCGGGGCUCAACCCCGGCCCGCCGUUGAAACUGGCAGUCGCGAGUUGGAGAAAAGUAUGCGGAAUGCGCGGUGUAGCGGUGAAAUGCAUAGAUAUCGCGCAGAACUCCGAUUGCGAAGGCAGCAUGCCGGCUCCACACUGACGCUGAGGCACGAAAGCGUGGGUAUCGAACAGGAUUAGAUACCCGAGUAGUC
rnacentral:rRNA from 1 species